rnacentral:rRNA from 1 species
UGACACUUUUUGGGAGCGUAAACUCCUUUUGUUAGGGGAAGAAUAAUGACGGUACCUAAUGAAUAAGCACCGGCUAACUCCGUGCCAGCAGCCGCGGUAAUACGGAGGGUGCAAGCGUUACUCGGAAUCACUGGGCGUAAAGGACGAGUAGGCGGAUUAUCAAGUCUCUUGUGAAAUCUAACGGCUUAACCGUUAAACUGCUUGGGAAACUGAUAAUCUAGAGUAAGGGAGAGGCAGAUGGAAUUCUUGGUGUAGGGGUAAAAUCCGUAGAUAUCAAGAAGAAUACCUAUUGCGAAGGCGAUCUGCUGGAACUUAACUGACGCUAAUGCGUGAAAGCGUGGGGAGCAAACAGGAUUAGAUACCUUGGUAGUCCACGCCCUAAACGAUGUAUACCGGUUGUUGCUGUGCUAGUCACGGCAGUAAUCCACCUGACGGAUUAAGUAUACCGCAUGGGGAGUACGGUCGCAAGAUUAAAACUCAAAGGAAUGGACGGGGACCCGCUCAAGCGGUGGAGCAUGUGGUGUAAUAUGAAGAUAC